rnacentral:rRNA from 1 species
UGAGUAACACGUAUGCAAUCCACCUGUAACAGGGGGAUAACCCGGAGAAAUCCGGACUAAUACCCCAUAAUAUGGGCGCUCCGCAUGGAGAGCCCAUUAAAGAGAGCAAUUUUGGUUACAGACGAGCAUGCGCUCCAUUAGCCAGUUGGUGGGGUAACGGCCCACCAAGGCGACGAUCGGUAGCCGGACUGGGAGGUUGAACGGCCACAUUGGGACUGAGACACGGCCCAG